CGCUCCCCGACAUAUAAAAACAUGAGGAGUCCUGCCUGCCCAGUGACUAGAGGUUAAACGGCCGCGGUAUCUUGACCGUGCGAAGGUAGCAUAAUCAUUUGUCUUCUAAAUAAAGACUAGUAUGAAUGGCAAGACGGAACUAAACUGUCUCUUUUUCAAACCCCGAAUUUCACUCCCCCGUGAAGAGGCGAGGCUAAAAUCGUUAGACGAGAAGACCCUGUCGAGCUUUCAGCAAAAACUUAACCACCAAAAAACUAAAAAGCCCUAACUUUUACACCUUAGACAUAAUGGCUCCUUAGGAUUAAGUCAAAGCUUUGGUUGGGGCAACCGCGGAGUAAAAAGAACCUCCACUAAAAAAUAUACACUAUUAUUAAAAGUUACUACUUUUUAAUCAUUAAUGAUUAGAAUGAUCCAUUUAGAUGACCAAAGGAACAAGUUACCGCAGGGAUAACAGCGUUAUCUUUUCUAAGAGUUCACAUUGACGAAAAGGUUUGCGACCUCGAUGUUGGAUCGGGACAUCCUAAGGGUGCAGAAGCUUUUAAGGGUUGGUCUGUUCGACCAUUAAAGUCCUACG
rnacentral:rRNA from 1 species